rnacentral:tRNA from 1 species
GAACGGAUGGCCGAGCGGUUUAAGGCACCGGUCUUCAAAACCGGCGUGGGCGCAAGUUCACGGUGGGUUCGGGUCCCACUCCCUCCGCCA